CGUAGGGUCCAAGCGUUAUCCGGAAUUACUGGGCGUAAAGAGUUGCGUAGGUGGCAUGUUAAGCGAAUAGUGAAAUGACGAGGCUCAACCUCGUGUCCAUUAUUUGAACUGGCAAGCUAGAGAAUGUGAGAGGUACCCGGAAUUCCCUGUGUAGGAGUGAAAUCCGUAGAUAUAGGGAGGAACACCGAUGGCGUAGGCAGGGUACUGGCACAUUUCUGACACUAAGGCACGAAAGCGUGGGGAGCAAACGGGAUUAGAUACCCCGGUAGUCCACGCCGUAAACUAUGGAUGCUAGCUGUUAUCGGUAUCGACCCCGGUAGUAGCGAAGCUAACGCGUUAAGCAUCCCGCCUGUGGAGUACGGUCGCAAGACUA
rnacentral:rRNA from 1 species